rnacentral:lncRNA from 1 species
CGGGCCGGAGGGGGAAUACGGGCCGGAGGGGGGAAUACGGGCCGGAGGAAGGAGGAGGGAAUACGGGCCGGAGGGGGGAAUACGGGCCGGAGGAAGGAGGAGGGAAUACGGGCCGGAUAUUUCUGGUAAUGAAGGGAGGAGUGUCUGUCCAUAGUUUUUGUUAACUUACUGUGAAGAUUCUAAAUUCAUGUUUAGUCAAAACAGCCCAUGUUUUUGGGAUAUUUAUUAUUAUUAUUACAUGAAUAGCAGCUCUAUGUAUUUAUUAUCAGCCCAUGUUGUUGUACUUUACAUGAAUAGCAGCAAUAUGUAUUAUUUAUCAGCCCAUGUUGUUGUACUUUACAUGAAUAGCAGCUAUAUGUAUUAUUUAUCAGCCCAUGUUGUUGUACUUUACAUGAAUAGCAGCUCUGUGUAUUUAUUAUCAGCCCAUGUUGUUGUACUUUACAUGAAUAGCAGCUCUGUGUAUUUAUUAUCAGCCCAUGUUGUUGUACUUUACAUGAAUAGCAGCUCUGUGUAUUUAUUAUCAGCCCAUGUUGUUGUACUUUACAUGAAUAGCAGCUAUAUAAUGUUAUUUAUUAUCAGCCCAUGUUGUUGUACUUUACAUGAAUAGCAGCUCUGUGUAUUUAUUAUCAGCCCAUGUUGUUGUACUUUACAUGAAUAGCAGCUCUGUGUUAUUUAUUAUCAGCCCAUGUUGUUGUACUUUACAUGAAUAGCAGCUCUGUGUAUUUAUUAUCAGCCCAUGUUGUUGUACUUUACAUGAAUAGCAGCUAUAUGUAUUAUUUAUCAGCCCAUGUUGUUGUACUUUACAUGAAUAGCAGCUCUGUGUAUUUAUUAUCAGCCCAUGUUGUUGUACUUUACAUGAAUAGCAGCUCUGUGUAUUAUUUAUCAGCCCAUGUUGUUGUACUUUACAUGAAUAGCAGCUAUAUGUAUUAUUUAUCAGCCCAUGUUGUUGUACUUUACAUGAAUAGCAGCUCUGUGUUAUUUAUUAGUGAAACGUGUUUGACCUUGUGAUUGUUCUUUAGCUGCCUAGCGUAGUAGUAUAUAGGUCAACUAGAACUGCUUCUGAAAUGGCUUAUUCCCUAUAUAGUGCACUACUUUUAAGCAGAGCCCUACGGGCCCUGGUAGGGGGCCAUUUCAGAAGCAGACUAGUUUUCACUAGGGUUGGUUGUGUGUUUUUGGAUGUGUGCAGUGUAACAGGGAGUUAUUAUAGGCUUCAAUGGGACUGAAGGGACACCAGUGGUACCAUAAAGUUACAUCAAUGUGAUGACCAGACAGUCAGGUAUUAGAGGUUAGGGGUCAGAGGUUAGGGGGGCGGGGUGAUGACCAGACAGUCAGGUAUUAGAGGUUAGGGGUCAGAGGUUAGGGGGGCGGGGUGAUGACCAGACAGUCAGGUAUUAGAGGUUAGGGGGGGGGUGAUGACCAGACAGUCAGGUAUUAGAGGUUAGGGGGGGGGGGUGAUGACCAGACAGUCAGGUAUUAGAGGUUAGGGGGGGUGAUGACCAGACAGUCAGGUAUUAGAGGUUAGGGGUCAGAGGUUAGGGGGGGGGGGGUGAUGACCCUCUGUGUUUACUGUGAACAAGGAGAGGCGUUUCUGUGAUUGAUUGUUUUGUGGUUUAUAUAAGUUGGGUGUUUACUGAGGAUUCUGUUAAAUUCACUUCCUGUUGUACUGAUGAGGCUGUUGUCUGGUCCAUGUCUCAUUAUAUCAUUCCUAGAGGAGUAAUGUAUUAUAACAUCUCAUUAUCAUUCCUAGAGGAGUAAUGUAUUAUAACAUGUCUCCAUUAUCAUUCCUAGAGGAGUAAUGUAUUAUAACAUCUCAUUAUCAUUCCUAGAGGAGUAAUGUAUUAUAACAUCUCAUUAUCAUUCCUAGAGGAGUAAUGUAUUAUAACAUAAUGUCUCCAUUAUCAUUCCUAGAGGAGUAAUGUAUUAUAACAUGUCUCAUAUCAUUCCUAGAGGAGUAAUGUAUUAUAACAUCUCAUUAUAUCAUUCCUAGAGGAGUAAUGUAUUAUAACAUCUCAUUAUCAUUCCUAGAGGAGUAAUGUAUUAUAACAUGUCUCCAUUAUCAUUCCUAGAGGAGUAAUGUAUUAUAACAUGUCUCCAUUAUCAUUCCUAGAAGGGUAAUGUAUUGUAACAUAUGUUCUGUGCUACUGUUGUUGUGGUGAAUCUGUGAUUACCCCCCCAUACACACAGGUAUGUUUCCACUUUUCAGGAUAUUGUAAAUAAAGACGCUGCCUAAACAUUGCUCAGGGUGAGUCCCAGUCUG